UGAAUCCAAUAUGGGAUCAUCAUUUUCCAAAAAGGAAUGGGCCCAUGCCAUAGGUUCACCUCUUAAAAAAGAGAUCACUGAACAGACUUUGGAUCUUUCGGUGGGAUAAGAUCUAGGUUUUAAAGCAAUUAGUAGUUUGCAAGAAUUCAAAAACUCUCUGUACUUUGUUCUAUCUCCAUAAAAUUUUUCUGGAUUACAGACAGCAGGAUCACCAGCCGAUUGAAGAGCGGCAUGAGGAAGAUGACCUUGAAUGUCUCUAACAUAGGUUAAUAUUCUCUCAUUUGUAAUUUGCAGUUCCUGUAACCCAUGAGCAAUCGUAUCCACUCUAUUGGUUAGGGCAGAAACUUGAGAAUUAAUAUCUGCUGGUUCCAUUUUGGGCUGAAUUAUUCUGUGAUACUUGUUUUAAUUGGAACUCAACUGCAGCAUUUCUUGGUUGCAACAACAAUAAGGUUUACCUCCGUUUAUAUUGGUAUGAAACUAUGGUCACUGUACCUUUAAAUAUUCAUGUAGGUAAAAUUAGGCUUUGUAGCAAUCCCUUAUGAGUAAGAGGAAUAAUUAGACAAAGUGACACUUUAGUAAGUUUUAGAUACUGUGUAAUAUAAAUAAUAGUGAUUGACUUGCUUGGUAAAAGUAUUACUUAACUUAGAGGCAGUUCUGGCACUGGAAGGGUUAAUUCGCCCAAAGAAAGAGAAAUUAGAAGUCCGUUUCAACAAGCUGAGAACUAGGAGUGGAGAGAGGGGAAGUCCGUUUUAACAAGCCAAGGUCUGGAAGUGGAGAAGGUAGAAUUCAGAGUUACAAGCCGAGGUCUAGGAGUGGAGAAGGUAGAAAUCCGUUUACAAGCCGAGGUCGAGAAGUGGAGAAGGUAGAAAUCCGUUUACAAGCCGAGGUCGAGAAGUGGAGAAGGUAGAAAUCCGUUUACUAGCCGAGGUAUAGAAGUGGAGCAGGUAGGAUCAGAAGUAGAGCAGCUGAUCUUCAUGCAGCACCUGUGCGAAUAAUUCAGCCCUUUGAAUCUGGCGCGGUCCUCCUAAGUAUCGUGGAGGGACCGCGUCAGAGAAAGGGGCGGGGCUGAACGCCGUGAACCCGGAAGUGGG
rnacentral:lncRNA from 1 species